rnacentral:rRNA from 1 species
GACGGAGGAUGCAAGUGUUAUCCGGAAUCACUGGGCGUAAAGCGUCUGUAGGUGGUUUAAUAAGUCAACUGUUAAAUCUUGAGGCUCAACCUCAAAAUCGCAGUCGAAACUAUUAGGCUAGAGUAUAGUAGGGGUAAAGGGAAUUUCCAGUGGAGCGGUGAAAUGCGUAGAGAUUGGAAAGAACACCGAUGGCGAAGGCGGCAUCCUGGACCGACACUGACGCUGAGGAGCGAAAGCCAGGGGAGCAAACGGG